rnacentral:rRNA from 1 species
UACGAAGGGGGCUAGCGUUGUUCGGAAUUACUGGGCGUAAAGCGCACGUAGGCGGAUUUGUAAGUCAGGGGUGAAAUCCCGGGGCUCAACCUCGGAACUGCCUUUGAUACUGCAAGUCUUGAGUCCGGAAGGGGCGAGUGGAAUUCCUGGUGUAGCGGUGAAAUGCGCAGAUAUCAGGAGGAACACCAAUGGCGAAGGCAGCUCGCUGGGACGGUACUGACGCUGAGGCGCGAAAGCGUGGGGAGCAAACAGG